UGGAGCUGGAGAAGUAAGGAUGGUGUUUCUGGCUGGCUGUGGGGCUGGACAGAUUGGUACUGGCUGGAGUCAGGCCGUAAAGAAGAGGGCUGAGUCACUGAAAAACCUGUCUGAGAUGGUUAACUGUAUGCAGCAAUGCAGAGGGAGUGCAGGUGCAGAGACACACCCAGCUGGCAGGGGUGUCCAUGUGAGGAAGGAGGAGAAUGGGAAAUUUCUUAGCUCAAGUAUCUAGCAUAUCCUUCCAACAUAAAACAGAAGAUGGGAAGUUAUUCUGACACAUAGGGUGAAGAAUGAGAAGAGUCUACCAACAUACGUAUGGGAAACAAGCAAGAAGAACACAAGAUGGAGCUCCCGGAGCCUACCACUGGAAGACAGGUUUUCUAAUCCAAUAAUCAUUCUCGUGGCUCUUCUCUGAACCCUCUCCGAUCUACCAACAUCCUUGAAUUAUGAUCACCGGAACUGUAU